AUUCGGGCAUCGAAAACCGAUGACAGGUUGUAUAGGUCCGCCUGUCGAGUUCCCUGAUUGCCAGUGCCAUUAUACUUGGAAGUCGGGCAAAGGAGCCGCAUCCGAAGACUUGCUACUCCGUCAAUCAGCUGUUAUCAACCCUUGUCGCAUGGAAACUCCCCCUGACGCUUUUGGCAUCUACAGGAGUUUCUCUCUAGCGACGGUUCAUUAUUUCAGCCAGCUUCGGGAAUCAGGACGGAUCAAGUUGUUCCAAUCCAUCACGAACCCAUGUGUGCGAAGCUGGAUGCGUCAAUAUUUUCUGUAUCUAUUUUGAGGUUGGCGCUGUCUCCGCGCAUGGAAUAUGUUCGUUUUCUGUUCUUUUAUUAGUAUCUCGGGACCCUUGGUAGAUUCUUUUGUGUGAGGGCUUACUUUGCAUUUAUCUAUAAUGAAGUCGUGUGUACCGCGCGUCUGUUGAGUGAUCCUCGUGUAGCAGAAUGGAUGCUCAGAAGAGAUGAUAUUGUAGACGCAAUGAGGAAGGUCUCGGAAGCGCUUUCAGCAAUCCGAACUGAUAUUUCUGUCGGUUUUUUCUUUUUUUACUUGUCUAGUAGAAUAACAAUGGAACAUUUCUCGAAACUUCUUCAUGCACUUUUUCUUUAUUAGUUUUCUUGUGGCACUCCUCACACACGCAAAGACGAAAGAAAUUGUGAAUCAAAAUAGAGAAAGUGUGUACCA